GACAGAGGGUGCAAACGUUGUUCGGAAUUACUGGGCGUAAAGGCGAGUGUAGGCGGUUCGGAUAAGUCGGGGGUGAAAGCCUGUGGCUCAACCACAGAAUGGCCCUCGAUACUGGACGGCUCGAGACCGGAAGAGGUUGGUGGAAUUGCGAGUGUAGAGGUGAAAAUUCGUAGAUAUUCGCAAGAACACCAGUGGCGAAGGCGGCUCACUGGCCCGGUACUGACGCUGACGGUGCGAAAGCGAGGG
rnacentral:rRNA from 1 species